GUUAAGUGUUCCAACCAGGUGUUAUCGUUGUCAAUGUGCUUCACAGAGUGUAGUAUUGCCAUUAAGAAGCUCACUGAGUUAAAGUCAGUGACAUUUUCACUAACUACCGCGUUUUCAGCGUGUCGAAACAAGUGUGUUUCUGAGUUACUAGCACGCUAAGCUAGCGCGCACGGAAUUGAGUGCUAACCGCUCGCUAGCACCUCGGUGGAUAUCAUUAGCACAACAACGAGCAAGAGGAGACCACAAAGCGCACUUGGUGGCCAGGUAAAACCCAGCUACACGUCUGGCUACGAGGGUGGAGAGACCUUCUUCAUCCACGGUCAAGUACUGGUGACAGCAGCAGCUCGCUCGCUUUCUUACGGACAUAGGUAGACUGGACUGAGAUUGAAUCGAAGCACCAGCCCUCUGCAGUGAUUUGCGGCCAGUUUCCCGUCCAGCUGCCCAGCCUGCGAGUGAUUCACUGACCUGCCAGGCCUGCAUGUGUCCGGUCAGUGUGUGUUUACACAGCAGCUCGUGGAUGCAGUCUGAAGGAGUAACAGAUCAGCAGGAAGGUCUCUGACUGAGCAGAGAGGGACGUCUUUUCCUCUCCAGCAGGGCCGAGGGGCGCUGAGGCGACCAGCUGCACACCAGGGAAGCGCACACACAUUCACACGCACAGGUUCAGAGGGCGAGCGACACACAACACCGCUGAAGUGGAGGACGGUGGGUAAAAGAAAACUGCCAGGCCAAAGGGUUACACAGGGACAGAGCUACUUACAUCUUACAGUUUCACUCGGCUGUUUUGUGACUUUUUUUUUUUUUUUUUUUUUAAGUUAAAGAGAAAUUAAAAGUCGCUGGAUUGAAUGAAUUAAUAGUUUUAAAGUGAAGGAUCUACAGGUUUCCAGUUAAAGGGGGUUACAAGACGCUGCUUACAUGACCUUUAGAGGCAAGAGCCAAUACUUGGUGUGAAACACAUUAUAUCACAUAUAAACUGAACAAAUAAAUCAUACUGUAGGAGUCAUGAAUUAGUUCCAGAGAGGAAUGGAUUUUGAGGUUUAUAUAUUGUGAUAUAAUUCCUUAAUGUCAUUUAUAUUUGUGUGAUCACAGUGAUUAUGGAGAGUUGGGUCACAUGGAUGUGGGUGGUGGUGGAUGUUAGUACUUGAUUUAAGCUCCUGUUUCUAUUUUAUCGCUGUAGUUAUUUUGAUCAUAAUUUUGUGCACGGUGUAAUAAGUUGAUCUUUUUGUUAAUAAAGUUUUUUUUCUUUUU